rnacentral:tRNA from 1 species
GCCCGGAUGGUGAAAUUGGUAGACACAACGGACUUAAAAUCCGUCGGCGGGUCAAGCCGCCGUACCGGUUCGAUUCCGGUUCCGGGCACCA